rnacentral:rRNA from 1 species
UACGAAGGGUGCAAGCGUUACUCGGAAUUACUGGGCGUAAAGCGUGCGCAGGCGGUUCGUUGUGUCGGCGGUGAAAACCCCGGGCUCAACCUGGGAAUGGCCGUUGAAACUGGCGAACUGGAGUGUGGCAGAGGGGGGUGGAAUUCCGCGUGUAGCAGUGAAAUGCGUAGAGAUGCGGAGGAACACCGAUGGCGAAGGCAGCCCCCUGGGCUAACACUGACGCUCAGGCACGAAAGCGUGGGGAGCAAACAGG